AUGUUUACAAAGUCUCAAAGUUUAUUAGUGGUUAUAUCAACUACCACUAACUAUAACCAGAUAAAAUAUAUACUGGGAGUGCUACCCACAAACAUUAUCUCAGCUCACACGCACCACCUCUCUCUCUCUCUCCUCUUGUGCACCACCAUGUCUCGCAUCACGGAUGACCCCGAGCACUCCCCGAGGGACUGCGCCACCAAGCACCGCCACCACCACUCGGCUGGGCGCCGCCGGCUGCUGAUCGGGGCGUUGUCGGCGGCGGCCUCGCUGCUGGCCCUGGCCAUCAUACUCUGGCUCACCCUCCGCCCUUCCAGCCCGCGCUUCACGCUGCUGGCCGCCACGGCCACGGCCACCGCCCCCAACGCCACCGCCGGCGGCAUCGUGCGGCUCGACGCGGCCUUCGUCGCGCACAACCCCAACGCGCGCGCCGCCGCGCUCUACGACCGGCUCCAGGCGCGUGCGUCCUACGCCGGUGUCCAGCUCGCCGCCACCGCGCCGCUCCCGCCGUUCCAGCAGGCCCAGGGCGACGCCGUGCUCACCGCCUCGCUCUCGGCGUCAUCUGCGGCGGCGUCGGCAGCCGAAACUGCAGAGGCCGGGCGCACGACGCUGCUGCUGAGGCUGCGCGUCGAGGGGCAGCUCCGGUGGAAGGUGUCCGCCUGGGUGUCCGGCAACCGCGCCCUCGCCGCCGAGUGCGUCGCUGUCGUCGUGCCGUCGCAGCUCACGGCCGUCGUCGUGCAGGGUUCCCAGUGCGCCACCACCCUCCAGUGA
rnacentral:rRNA from 1 species